GACGAACGCUGGCGGCGUGCUUAACACAUGCAAGUCGAGCGGUAAGGCCCUUUCGGGGGUACACGAGCGGCGAACGGGUGAGUAACACGUGGGUGACCUGCCUUUAGCUCUGGGAUAAGCCUGGGAAACUGGGUCUAAUACCGGAUAUGACUCCGCGGUGCAUGCUGUGGGGUGGAAAGCCUUGUGCGGCUGGAGAUGGGCCCGCGGCCUAUCAGCUUGUUGGUGGGGUGAUGGCCUACCAAGGCGACGACGGGUAGCCGGCCUGAGAGGGCGACCGGCCACACUGGGACUGAGACACGGCCCAGACUCCUACGGGAGGCAGCAGUGGGGAAUCUUGCGCAAUGGGCGAAAGCCUGACGCAGCGACGCCGCGUGAGGGAUGACGGCCUGGU
rnacentral:rRNA from 1 species